rnacentral:lncRNA from 1 species
AAACAGUAAAAUUUCCUAAAAUUACCAAUUCAGGGGCAGCAACCCAACAACGGGUUGUCCGAUUCAUCUGAAAAUUUCAGGGCAGAUAGAUCUUGACCUGAUGAACAAUUUUACCCCAUGUCAGAUUUGCUCUAAAUGCUUUGGUUUUUGAGUUAUAAGCCAAAAACUGCAUUUUACCCCUAUGUUCUAUUUUUAGCCAUGGCGGCCAUCUUGGUUGGUUGACCGGGUCACCAGACACAUUUUUUAAACUAGAUACCCCAAUGAUGAUUGUGGCCAAGUUUGGUUAAAUUUGGCCCAGUAGUUUCAGAGGAGAAGAUUUUUGUAAAAGUUAACGACGCCGGACGACGACGGACGACAGACGACGGACGACGGACGCCAGACGCCAAGUGCUGAGAAAAGCUCACUUGGCCCUUUGGGCCAGGUGAGCUAAAAAUCCGAGUUACAAACUAAAACUGAGGGAAACGCAUAAAUAUAAGAGAACUACGACACAACAGAAACGCAACAUUAAAAUGGAACACACACAGAAACGAGCUAUAAUAUAACAAUGACCAUUUCCCUUCAUACUCAUUUUUACAUUUUCCGAGGAGCAAUUUAAACAUUCAAAUAAGUAUGGAUAUCUAUCAUAAAUUGUAUUUCUUUAUGUUCUAAAGUCAUUCAAGCAACAGUAGUACACCGCUGUUCAAUAGUCAUAAUAACAUAAAAAGUAUCAAUUUUUCUACACCAAUUGCACAUUUUGACAAUCAAUGUCUCUCGAUUGAUGCCCGACGACAAAAUAUUUGAAAAUCCAAAUGAAAAGCUGAGAAAAAAGGUUAAGACAAAGCCGUACAAGGAAUCAGAGCUUGGUAUGAAGGAGAUGCAUUCCCUAAUUUUAAACAUAUUCAAAUUUUGUAACAGCAAUUUUUAAUAACAUAAAAUCCGUAUUCAUAAAUCGAUUAAGCGAAAACAAACACGGGUCACAAAACAAAACUUAGGGAAACACAUCAAAAUCAUAUUUUUGUUCCUUCGAUCCGGAGAAAUUAGUGUAUCUACAUAUUUGUUUGCAUAUGCCGAGUUAUUCCUUUUUUCCAAUUCGCACAACUGUAUGCACAUGUUAAGUUAGUGAUAUGCCUAUCGCAUUGUAUUAUUGUGCUAAAGAAAUAUUUAUCUAUUCUUGUCUUUCAUUUUUGCUAAUGUGUUUUUUCUGUAUACCUUGUUACGUUUCUCUGUUACAUAUGACGUGGCUAUGUACAUGUGCAUCCCGUCAUUGUGUUAUUCUGCUAUAGCAGAUUUUUGUAUUCUUGGCUUUCAUGUUUGCUAAUGUGCUUUGUCUAUAUUCUUUUUUGUGUUUCUUUCUUACGCGUGACGUGGCUCUAUACUUAUACAUCCAGUCCUUGUGCUAUGGUACGUUUUUGUAAUCUAGUCUUUCACUUUUGCUUAUGUGCUUUUUCUAUAUGCCUUUUUGUGUUGCUUUGUCACAUAUUUGUUUGUUUUAAAGUGAUUAAGAUUAUAUAACAGUGUUGACUGCCAGUCUGGUGUACGCCUAUUUUGACAUUUUACCUAUUAUACGUCUGUUAGUUUUGUUCACACAUCGUUGUCGAAUUAUAUGUUUUUAUGCGACUGUCAUACAAGUGAGAGGUUUCAUUACGCACUUUCUCUUUCGAAUUUCCCUCGGAGAUCGGUAUUUUUUUUAUUUUACUUUUUUAUAUAAAGGAUGUAUAAAUAAUAUCAGACAGGUAAACUUCCUUCCUAAAUGCGUUCCUGUGUUAGUUUUUUAUCUAAGUUUUCAGAGGGUUAUGUACGCGACAACUUCGGUUGUUGGUGUUAUAACACGUAUCAUAAAACUCCUGCUGUUUACUUAGACCAGAAGAGGAGAGUCUUGAUGUUACACCAUAUUUCAAAUAUGUAGUAAGAAUAUUAACUCUGUACACCAUUGAGGGAUACCUAUAUACAAAAUAUUAUUAAAAUUUUUAAUAAUUUCAAUUUUAUAAAAUUGCAGUCAGCAAUAACACUGAGGCAUAUGUCUGCACUUUUAAAUUGAAGUCUACCGGUCAUUAUAACAAUCACCAUAAAGUAUAUUAAUGAUUGUUUUUUUUUUAUUGAGAUCAUCUGUAUAACUUAUGUUUCUUUUAAUAUGCAACUUUAUUCUUUUUUUUUGUUCAUGAACAUUAAUAAUGUGUUAACUGUCGAUACACACAUAUUUAUAGUCUCUUUUUUUUUCUUCGCUGUGAAUACCACUGUCACUCUAAUAUAAUUAUAAUCAAUUUAACUAUUGUCAUUUUAUUGUCUUAAUACUGUAUGCCAUAACAAUUUAAUGUAAAUGUGUUUGUGC